rnacentral:rRNA from 1 species
UACGUAGGGUGCAAGCGUUGUCCGGAAUUAUUGGGCGUAAAGAGUUGUAGGCGGUUUGUCGCGUCUGCUGUGAAAUUUCGGGGCUCAACCCCGAACUUGCAGUGGGUACGGGCAGACUAGAGUGUGGUAGGGGAGACUGGAAUUCCUGGUGUAGCGGUGAAAUGCGCAGAUAUCAGGAGGAACACCGAUGGCGAAGGCAGGUCUCUGGGCCGAUAACUGACGCUGAGAAGCGAAAAGCAUGGGGAGCGAACAGG